rnacentral:rRNA from 1 species
AAGUGACGGUACCUGCAGAAAAAGCGCCGGCUAACUACGUGCCAGCAGCCGCGGUAAUACGUAGGGCGCAAGCGUUAUCCGGAAUUAUUGGGCGUAAAGAGCUCGUAGGCGGUUUGUCGCGUCUGCUGUGAAAUCUGGGGGCUCAACCCCCAGCCUGCAGUGGGUACGGGCAGACUAGAGUGCGGUAGGGGAGAUUGGAAUUCCUGGUGUAGCGGUGGAAUGCGCAGAUAUCAGGAGGAACACCGAUGGCGAAGGCAGAUCUCUGGGCCGUAACUGACGCUGAGGAGCGAAAGGGUGGGGAGCAAACAGGCUUAGAUACCCUGGUAGUCCACCCCGUAAACGUUGGGAACUAGUUGUGGGGUCCAUUCCACGGAUUCCGUGACGCAGCUAACGCAUUAAGUUCCCCGCCUGGGGAGUACGGCCGCAAGGCUAAAACUCAAAGGAAUUGACGGGGACCCGCACAAGCGGCGGAGCAUGCGGAUUAAUUCGAUGCAACGCGAAGAACCUUACCAAGGCUUGACAUACACGAGAACGCUGCAGAAAUGUAGAACUCUUUGGACACUCGUGAACAGGUGGUGCAUGGUUGUCGUCAGCUCGUGUCGUGAGAUGUUGGGUUAAGUCCCGCAACGAGCGCAACCCUCGUUCUAUGUUGCCAGCACGUAAUGGUGGGAACUCAUGGGAUACUGCCGGGGUCAACUCGGAGGAAGGUGGGGAUGACGUCAAAUCAUCAUGCCCCUUAUGUCUUGGGCUUCACGCAUGCUACAAUGGCCGGUACAAAGGGCUGCAAUACCGCGAGGUGGAGCGAAUCCCAAAAAGCCGGUCCCAGUUCGGAUUGAGGUCUGCAACUCGACCUCAUGAAGUCGGAGUCGCUAGUAAUCGCAGAUCAGCAACGCUGCGGUGAAUACGUUCCCGGGUCUUGUACACACCGCCCGUCAAGUCAUGAAAGUCGGUAACACCUGAAGCCGGUGGCCCAACCCUUGUGGAGGGAGCCGUCGAAGGUGGGAUCGGUAAUUAGGACUAAGUCGUAACAAGGUAGCCGUACCGGAAGGUGCGGCUGGAUCACCUCCUUU